AUCACAGAAUACUGGGACCGGGAACACAGGCUUCCUCUCGGUGAUGAGAGGCUCAGCCUCCUAGGUGCCUUGUGUACCCUUAGGGAUGGGGGAUCCACUACUCAGCAACAGUUCAAGGACGUUCCAGGUCCCAAGCUCACCCUUUGAGAUGCUAAGGUACCUGGCUUUCCUAUUGCAGUCACAGAGUCUUAAGGGCCGGAAGGCGCAGCGGGGAACACAGGGGCCUGGCUGCCCAGGACGAGGUGCCUGCACUAGGCGCCCCCGAGAUCUGGGCGGGGCAGCGGUAUCCAGGGAGCGCUGGCUGCGGUAGGAACGCUCACAGCCUCCGGGAGUUCGCGGCCCAGUGUGCUCCAGCCCCAGAGCCAGCGCGGCGAACUCAGUGAGAUGCGGUGUAUUGAGAAGAUCCUAAAGGCCACGAGGUGCUUGGCACAUCCCAAGACGCGGCUCAGCGCCAUCCUACUGUCACAUUCCACUUGUUUUUCUCGCCUUCAAUGGUCCGGAGCCACAAGCAGGUGUGGGAUACAGUACCUCUGCUCCAAGUGGCUUGGACCCCCUCGCGGCCGAUUCGGACGAAGGAACCGCGGCUUGAGAGGGCCAGGACCCAGGGCAUCUGCAAGCCAGAAAAAGGCGUGCUGCACACCGCCCCCACGACCCGGCAGGAAGCCUGCUUGAUUUUCCAUAAGCAUCAAGAGACUGAAAAUCCGCAGUGUUCUAAAGGACAUGGCUCUUGGGGCAGUCAUUUACAAACAGAAUACUACUCCUGGAGGCCCCUCUGCUCUCAUUCUCAGAUUCCAGGAAGCCUACAAGAUGAAUGACUGCUCCCCUCGUUGGGAAGAUGUGCGGACCACAGGUCUGUUAUAAUCGUUUGGAAACAGGUCCUUCCUGAGAUUGCUUUGGAAUUGGAAGUGGAACAUUGAGGGAAAUAGGCUCCAGUUGACUGUAUGCAUGGCCACAGUCCAGCAAGCUCGCCUUCCUGUGGGGAGUCUACAAAGUGGCUGUCCUGGUAUUAUAUUGCAGAAGGUUCAUGCCGAGUAGGCAUGCCUAACGCCAUUAGGAAGUGACUCGCUCUUCUGUGCAUCAGCUGUGGAAAAAGACCCUCACCUGCUGUCCAAGCAUGGUCACAGUUCUCCUUUGUCUUCUCCAUGAUCCAGAGUGGUACCCAGCUGACCUUACUUCUCAUCCCUUUUAGGAUGAAGGUGUCAGUCUAGGCGGUCCAGAUCCACCCCCACUGCUCUCCACCUAGUGGUCUCCCCAGUCCAUCUGACUAGCUCCUGUCUCUCAGUAAGACCUCCACUGUCUCUUCUUCAUACCUAGCAGGUUAGCUCUUUUCAUCCAAGCAACUAGGUAACAUAGUCGAGACCUGGACCAACUACGUCAACUGCUCUUUGCACAAGAACACGUGGAAGCUGGAAACAGGAUUCCACCUGCAGCCAUUCUCUCUUCCCCAAGACUCUGGCCAAUGGGACUGCGGCCUGCAGCAGUUCUUCACCAGCUUGGCAUCUAGUGUGGAAAAACUGGCUUUAUUAAAAUUAUAUAGACCUGUCAUCAUUUUACACACAUGUCUGUGGUUUCACUUUCUGUGUUUUGUUAGCUACAGUAAGUUGUAGACCAGAAAUAUCAAAUGGAAGAUUCCAGAAAUAAAAACACAUGCCAUCCUAUACUGUACUGUCCUCCUUAGGGUUCAGCCCUCCGUCCAGUGUAUCGAAGCUGUAUACACUACUCUCCAGCAGCCACUUAGC